UCUCUCUCUCUCUGAGGCGACCCUCGAGCAAACCGGGACAGGCUCUCUGAGGCGGGCCCAAUCCCCGCCACACACAUUUAGAGAGGCCUGACUCUGAAGGAUUGCACAGUUGCACCAGAGUUCCUUGAAAAGAAGAAAUGAAGAGAUACAACUUUCUCCAUACCAAAAGAGCUCUACUUAUUGAUGUCUGCUUCUUCAGCAAUGGUUAAAGAAGCCACCCACCAAAAGCAGAUCUCAACCACUAAGAAAUUCUUUUCUAGAGGCUACAAUGCAUUCAUAUAAUACGUCGAACAAUUCUAUUUAGAAUUCCAAAAUCUGAAAUACUUCAAAAUCCAGAAUUGUCCCCAAGUGUGAAAAAGAUAGUGGCACCUUUACCUUCCAUGGCUGAUACCAAAUGAGAAACACUCUCCUGGGCACACAGAAGACUGGGCAACUUGGAAGGCGCUGAACAGACUACGCUCUGGCACCACGAAAUGCAGAUCUAACCUUAAGAAAUGGGGCUGCAAAGUGGAGUCUGUGACAUGUGAGUGUGGAGAAGAGCAAACCACAGACCAUGUAUUACAAUGUAGCCUGAGCCCUGCCACAUGCACAAUGGAGGACCUUUUUAUAGCAACACUACAAGUGGGCAGCUACUGGUCAAAGGACAUUUAAUAGAAUGGCAAGUUUUUAAACUUUUCUCAAACACAUUGGUUAAAUAAAUACCUUUGUCUUCUAA